UAAGGGAAAUAUAUGCAAUUAAGUUUCAUUUGUGUUGAUUUGUUUGUAUAGUUUUAUAUGUUUACACUGUUGCUUUGGUUUCUUAUAGUUUUUCCCAAUGUAGUCAAUUUCAUGCCAUAACACAUUUAUCACGCCAAGUUGUUUCAAAGUUUUUUCAUAAAUUUCUUCUAUCUUUGGUAUAGUGGGUGUUUGACAGUCUGGUAUUUUGAAAAUAAUAGUUGCUCUGUGAACUACUAUACUGUUGUAGCACUUUUGGGGUUGGUUGCUUUGCUAAGCUAUUAAGUAUUGACUAAUAUGCUUUUUCCCCUAUGGUGUUCUCUUCAAAUAGAAAUUUAUGCAAUUGUUGAUUGGAAGAGAUGUCUAUAUAUAAAACAUCUACUGAAUUUAUUUAUUGUGGUAUUGCUCAGCAUAUGUUGGCAUAUGGUUCCUUCUAUUGAUGGUUACCUCAAUUCUUUAUUGCGGGAAACGAUUAUUUAGCUUGAUCAGUGGUAUUCCAUCUAUUUUUGAAGUUGUGACUGAUAGGAAAUCAGUUAAGGACAAGCCAACUACGGAUAGUGAAAGCAAGUAUAGGGGAAGUGCCAAGUUUAUAUCAGUGGAUGUAUCAGAGGUUGGAUGCUAAUAAAUGUUGGACAAAUAAGUUUAGAGAAGGAGUGUUUGAGUUCGUACAGUUUGUUACUAGUCAAAGGCAUGCUUCAAAUGCAAGGUGAACAAACAAGGUGUCCCAACAAGAAAUGCAAAUGUAAAGUUUUCAAGUUUGUGGAUGAUGUGAUGCAGGAUCUUUAUAAGGAAGAGUUCAUGCCAAAUUAUUAUUGGAGGACAAACCACGUUUAUAUCAGUGGAUGUAUCAGAGGUUGGAUGCUAAUAAAUGUUGGACAAAUAAGUUUAGAGAAGGAGUGUUUGAGUUCGUACAGUUUGUUACUAGUCAAAGGCAUGCUUCAAAUGCAAGGUGAACAAACAAGGUGUCCCAACAAGAAAUGCAAAUGUAAAGUUUUCAAGUUUGUGGAUGAUGUGAUGCAGGAUCUUUAUAAGGAAGAGUUCAUGCCAAAUUAUUAUUGGAGGACAAACCACGGUGAGGAGUUACCACAAUUUCCUCCAAUAGUGUUGUAAGGUUCAUACUAUGAAAGUGGUAGGCAAAGGGAAUAAUUGAAUCCUUAUGAGUAAAUGAUCAUGAAUCAUGUUGGACCAUCAAUUGGCCAAUACAUAGAACAAGAGGGUGUAAUUGAGACAGAACGCAUGGAGGAAAAUCCUAAUCUUGAAGCUCAAAAGUUCUUUGAUAUGCUUGCAACUGCACAAGCACCAUUGUGGGAAGGAUGUGAGCAUCAUUCAAAAUUGUCAGCUUCUUUGGCCUAUCUUAGCUUGAAAUCUGAUUAUAAUAUGUCAAAAGGGUGUUCUAAUUGUAUGGUUCCACUUAUGGACGACACCAUGCCAAAAAACAAUACCAUGGUUAGUAAUUUUUAUCAAGCUAAGAGGUCAGUGCAGAAAUUGGAUCUCGAUUGUUUGAAAAUUGGUUGUUGGCCGAACGAAUGCAUGUUGUAUUACAAAGAAAACUCAAAUAAGAGUAUAACUAAUUGCUUUUUUUUUUUUUGUAAAAGUGAUCGGUACUUGACAGUUAAUAGGAGAGGGAUUGAAAAGAAGUUUCCUAUUAAAAAAAUGUGGUACUUUCCACUCAUUCCAAGACUAAAAAGAUUGUACUCUUCAAUGGCCAUUGCAUCUCACAUGAGAUGGCAUAGUGAGAAUCAGAAGGACCCGAAUGUCAUGUGUCAUCUAUCUGAUGGUAAAGUGUGGAAGCAUUUUGAUAGAAUGCAUCCAUAAUUUAGUCAUGACCCUAGGAAUGUCAGAUUAGGGUUAUGUUCAGAUGAGUUUAGUUCUUUUGGUCAAUUUGGGAAGAUUUACUCUUGUUGGCCAAUUAUCUUAACUCCAUAUAAUCUUCCUCCAGGCCUAUCUACUUUAUAAAUGGAUACAAAUUUCAAAUAGUUAGCUAGAAUAAAGGCAUGAAUUCUUCUAAUUAUGGUGUUUACGUAUGGGGAACUGAUGGUCAAUUAGAAUAUGAUUUUUAUGGAAUGUUGUAUGAUAUUAUUCAAUUGGAGUAUACUGGCAUCCCAUUGAUGAAGUGAGUUCUAUUCAAGUGUGAUUGGUUUGAUAAUACUCCUUAUAUAGGGAUACAAGUAGAUAAAAAGUAUGAGAUUGCUGAAGUAAGGCAAUAAAAAAUAUAUUCUAAAGCAUACGGCCCAUUCAUAUUUCCACAAGUAGAACAAGUUUAUUAUUCAACAUAUCCCAAGGGACAUCGAGGAUGGUUAGCCGUAAUGAAGACAAAAGCUCAUAGCAGAAUCACUGACAAUAUAGUAAGUGAAACUAAGCAAGAGGUUCCAUACCAAGAUAAUGAGCUUGUAUGGCUUUAAGAAGUGUUGGAAGUUAACCCUAAUGUCAUUAAUGAAUAUCUUGCGGAUGUUGAUGGAGGUGGAGAAGAGAUAGAUGUAGAUUCAAUUAAACAACGUGUAACAAAAUCAAACAUGUAGAUGGUAGACAGAGGUAGAGGUGGUGGUCACAGAACAUUUAAUCGUGGUAGAAGACGUGGUGUUAGUUUGGGAGCUCCAAUUACCAUCAACCCUUCCACCUCUUCCAUUCACAUAUCAAUCUCAGAGUCAAUGAUUCAUGUCGUUGCGCUGACACCAAACAUACUUCCUACAGCUUAAGACCAACCAAAUCUGACCUUUGUAAGGGAGUGAAUUCCCAUUACCCCUAUUGGAGAUGCUUCACCUUCAGCACCAGAUAAUUCUCUUACACCUGAGUACCCACCUGAUCCAAAUUGUGAACAUAUUGUUGAUCAUAGGCCUUUCAUUCGUGCAUAUAAAGGAGAGUAAGUGCAUUUUAUUUAACUAUUAAUUUUUCUUAAAAUAUUUUUUAAAUGUGGUAUUAACAAUGUCUUUGUACAUAGGUUCCAACCAACAUA